rnacentral:lncRNA from 1 species
UCCUUAGUACCUCAGAUUUUUAGGAUCUAAGACGUUUUCAAAGCUCCUAGCAGGUUUUUUUUGAAGGUUACACUUAUAACUCCAGCACUAUUACUGGGUCUCUGAUGUUAGAUAGCUGCAGUUACAUUUAAUUGAAAAGAUUCGUGACUUUUCAAAAAGAAUAUAUUCUUUAUUUUUGAGUUUGAGGAUACAAAGGCAUGUUAAUUGAGUUAACCCAUGGUUUUAAAGAUAUGCAAUCUUUUUCAAGAAUAUCAUACGGAUUUUCUCCUCCUAUUUUGCUCCGUCAUUACGUGUUGUCGCAAUUGACAUGUGUUAGAGGGAUUGUCAAGAGAAUCGGCUCAGGCAUGUUAAGGCUAUCUCUUCUCUCUUUUUGGCAUGAUCUAUACGACACGAACGAAACGAGCAAAUGCAUAAUUUUCAUAAAUGACUCUAUUCAUAAAAAUAUUAGGGGUGUCUAUAUACUUGAUUUUCCCAUGUGAAUUAUUAUAUAUCUUCUGUUCAUGGGUCUCAGAAAAAUACGUAUUUGAUAAAAUUUAUCCGACAAACAUAUUAUUUUUGUGACAUUCUGAGAAAAUCUUAUUAACGUAUUUCUUAUGCAUUUCAUGAAUUUAUACAUGUACAUCGAUCCAUGACCAGAUGGCAUUAUAUACGCGUAUAUAUAUGUAUAUGUAUAUGUAUAUGGGAUAUGGGAAAAGGUUACGGCGUUAUAUACGCACCACCACCUGAUCAGCUGGUAUACAUUGAUGAUUUGCCCAAAGUGGCCGAAAUGAUAUGAUGGGAUGCCCUCAGAUGCUUGAUGAUGUUAUGAAUACAUAUACCUAUACAUGGUAUGACAUUUAUACGCAUAUGCAUGAUGUUAUAAAAAUGAAAUGAUUAACAGAGUUAUGCAGACGUACAUGUCGAGUCUUUUACUCUAUGUUUCUCUCAUGUCUAUUAUUUACUGAUUUUCAUUCCUUACAUACUCGGUACAUUAUUUGUACUGAUGUCCCUUUUUGCCCGGGAACGCUGUGUUUCAUGCCCGCAGGUCUCAAUAGAUAGGUCGAGAGUCCUCCAAGUAGGCGAUCAGCUCAGCGGAAGAUGUUGGUACACUCCAUUUGCUUCGGAGUUACUUGUUUGGUCAGUAUAAUUUAUAUGUGUAUUAUUUGGUAUGGUGGGGCUCUGUCCCGACCUUAAUGACAAUUAUGUAUUCGUAGAGGCUUGUAGACAGAUGUCAUGUACGGAUACUUCUAUGGCCUUGUCGGCCUAUGUUUUGAGUUUGUAAAUGAUCAUGUUGGCCUUAUAGGCCCGUAUGUCACGUAUGUAAGUUUCUAUAUCAGAUUGGGUCGUUCUAUGUUUAUUCUAGUUAGCCCAUGAUGGCCUGUUUGGCCCAUUUGCCAAUGAUAGUACGAUAUGAAAGAUACGGUACGUUGGUACUCUGUUGAGUAAGGCACCGGGUGCCCGUCGCGGCCCAUUGAUUUGGGUCGUGACAAAAGUGGUAUCAGAGCAGUACUGUCCUAGGGAGUCUACAAGCCGUGUCUAGUAGAUUCUUAUUUAUGGGUGUGUCGUGCACCAUACUUAUAAGCAGGAGGCUACAGGGCAUUUGGGACUGUCACUCUUUCUUCUUACUGUAGAUCGUGUGGUAGAGCUCAGUUGUAAGAACUCAAUUUCCUAAACUUUAUCUUAUUCGUAAUACAACGAUGCCUACAUCCAGAAAGACGGUUGGUAAGAGAUAUAGCUGUGGAAGAGUUGAGUCAGAGGAACUCAAUUUUUGCAUCAUGCUUAUGAUGGAUAAAUAUGAGGUAUUCAGCAGAUCAUGUGUNNNNNNNNNNNNNNNNNNNNNNNNNNNNNNNNNNNNNNNNNNNNNNNNNNNNNNNNNNNNNNNNNNNNNNNNNNNNNNNNNNNNNNNNNNNNNNNNNNNNNNNNNNNNNNNNNNNNNNNNNNNNNNNNNNNNNNNNNNNNNNNNNNNNNNNNNNNNNNNNNNNNNNNNNNNNNNNNNNNNNNNNNNNNNNNNNNNNNNNNNNNNNNNNNNNNNNNNNNNNNNNNNNNNNNNNNNNNNNNNNNNUUGAUAAAGAACCUUAAGGCAAGAAUAUUUAUCCACCUUUAUGGUGAAAGACAAUGAGAGAUUCAGAAGAUAAAUACAAGUUUCAAGAAGUAAAAGAAGCAAGAUGAAGAAUGGUACGAAGUACCCAGUUAAUAACAAUUAUCAUUAUUUACCAUUCAGAGAGGGAGAUAUAAGUAUUUUGAGUUACCUUCAACAGUGACAGAUGUAUGUACAAUCGGCCACACCGAUCUCAGUUAUGCCCUAUGGGAGGUAACAAACAUAGUUUAAGAGAAGGACGAGUUAUCAGGAUCCGGCUGCGGAUAGAGUAACCCAAAAUAGUGGAUGGAUUGGUAGAGUUAGUUGACAUUUCCGAAGGAUAGUGCAAAUAUGGUAAUGGAUCUCCUGGUGAGACACCUCGAUGGUGCACCCUAAAAUAGUACAACUAGAUAUGAGUACUACAAAGAUAAGCACUAGAAGCCUGGAAAGGAAAAAUAUUAUCUUAGUAUGGCUCCCGUCCCUAGUAGAGAGAGAAUGUUAGGCAACCCGAAGAGCCAGUAGAUGGAGCAAGGGAAGCUAAAAGCAAGAGAAUAUCUUGUUGAAGUUUUCAGAAUAAGGUGAUAGACAGAGAUGAUAGCAGGGAAAUAAGAAGAGAGUUAAUAAAGCAUUAUGAGUAAGAUGUCAAUAUGGAUGACAACGGUGGAUCAAAAAGAUGACAGUAUUACAGAGUCUAUAGUCAAUUGAAGAAAAAGACGAGAGGUAACAGGCCUUGAAACAACAAAAGAGUAUAGGCCAUAAAGUCAUAUCCUUAUUUCAAGAAAUAAGUUCGUAACUCCAACACGACUACCAGAAGGAAAAGUUAGACUCCAGAACAAUAGAAAUCAGUAUGGGUUGGUGAACAAGAUAAACUAAGCAUGAAUUAGGGACUGAGUUAUUGGAUAAUAGUCAGCAUCAUGAGAAUUUCAAAUUUCGUUCCGGCGAUAAUAGAGUGGACAAUAGAAGAAGAUUUAUGAGAAAUUCAUAGAAUGGUCAUUGAGGAAGACACUUCCCUAAAGCAGGCAAGGUGAGUAAAGUUAAGUUUAAGGGACUGUAUGUGCCAGUUACACUAAGUGUCACCCUCGCGAGUGAGGAAUUUCAUUAUCCUUGGUACUGAAGGAUUACCGCGAGGCAAGUAAGGAUCAUCGAUAAUGUGAAAAGAUGCCAAAGAUGAGAGGAUAAAACAUCUAUAUAUAGAUCAUUGUAUCACUAAAUCUUAGUGCUCCCCUAAAAAUGGGAAUAUGGUGUGAUAUGACAUUAGUUCAGAAUUAAGUGGUUCUAGUAACUAUGAAAAUGGUAAAGAAAGAAUGUGAUAAGAAUGAGAAAGGGAUAAGAUUUUACUUAUUCAAGUCCUGUAGAUACGCUACGAUUCCAGAAUAUUAUGCAAACACGACAUCAGGGAGAGGAGGUAAGGGUUCCUGCCUGAGAUGUUAUUGAUAGAUAAGGAGCAAGUGCGAGAUGUAAGUUAAGAUAAAGGAAAUGACGCAUGAAAAAUUAUGCAGAAUAUUGAUAUGAGAAUGAGCCAAUGAGUAGUUAGUAGUUGAUUCAGGAAGAGCCUAGUUGUGUCUAGACAAGAGGAUAUAGACAAAUCAAUAGAUCGUGCAAGAUAAACAGAGUGAACCCCAACAUGGGGAAUUCAGUCGCGCAGAUAUGACAUCGUGACCUUGAGAAAUAUUCGGAUAGGAGUUGGGGUAGUUAAAGAUACCGUAUGAGUGUUAAGGGAAGACAGUCAAAACUUCAGUUCGGGAGCAACCGUACAAGCAUAUAAGUAUGGAGGUAAGUAACUAAGGAAUUUUAUAUGUGAUUAUGAACAUCAAAUAUUCCGUUGAGUAUACGAUGUAAUAAGCUCGCAGCCUUGCAAGAAUCAGAGGGUCCUCCCUAGGUACUACAAUAAAAGACUAGCAGAGGAAAUAAGGAAGAAGGUUUUAACCAAGCACAGUCACCUAAAGAGGAAAUGGUCAUGUACAAACAGUCUCACAACAACAUUGUAUGCACUCCAUCAGCGUGGGCACUAAAAUAAGCUAAGUAUGCACGCAACAAGGAGGCAGAACGACUAGGAAAAGCAAUUGCUUGCAUUUAAAGAAAGUUGAGAAGGAAUGAAAGGAAUUAUUCGACCAAUGAUCCAGAGAUAAUUACAUAAUGAAUGUACCUAAGAUUUCGGAGUAUUAUCCAUGCGGCAUAUAUGUUGACAAUCAUACAAGCUGUAGAAGACUCCGGUAUAAGUUAAAAGAAAGAAUUAAGCCCAGAAAAUAAACAAAGGAUUAAAUGGCUAGAAGAUUGCAUCAUGGAUAUUCUAUAGCACCCAUGGAAGGCUAAAGUAAUAACUAAUACCAGGAGCCACAGAUCGGAAGAUAGCUUAAGCCUACAUAAAAGUUGAUCAGAAGGAAGAGAAAACUAAAGAGUUACAACAACGAAGUAAAUCAAGAGUCUGAUUAUUGUACCUAGAAAAUUAUAGAAAUUGCGCUUGAGAACAUGGUAGAAUCACUCUUAAUAUCAGAGGUGCAAGAGAGAUAAUGCAACAACCAUAUUCUAUAAUAGCUCUAUAAGGAAGCUGGCUAGAAGAAGUACCAACCUUAUAAGAAGUCGGUAUGAAUCUCUCACCGGAUUAUGUAUGCACCAAAGGUGCAAGUAUUAUAAUAGAGCUUCAAGUUGUGGAUGUGAAUCAUACCUAUAUGGAAGGGAGGUCAUGAAAGAAAUAGAAAAUGUAAUGCGAGAUUUUAAGGUAAGGUAAAGGUGAAAAACGUACGAGAUACUCAAAUGCAGAAGGUUGUGAGUAGUCCAUAAUGCGGAUAAAAGGCUAGAAGCGUGGGGAUUCAGUAUCCAGGAAUGAUAGCAGCGUCGUCAGUAGCAUACCUUCCAGCCUAUGGUUUCUAAGUACCGAAAUUUUUAAUUAAGAGAGUAAAGAAGAGUUAGAGACGAUGUAAUGUCUCACUUGAUGUUCCAGAAAAGCAUAAGGAAAUUGAUCGCAAGCUAAGUAUGGUAGAGCGACAAAGGUUUACAAGACAUGAGCAAGUAUAAAGAAAGGCGAGUAAGAAGGUAACGAAAAUGGAUAAGUCCUCAGGAUUAAGCCCAUGAAAACAAGAAGAGCUGAUGGUUUCUCUAAGUAUAAAAAGCUCAGUAUAGCCUGAAUGAAAUCAAAGGAGUCUAAGACUAGUAGCAUUUAGAAGAGAUGGAAUGUUGCCUUGGUAGCAGAAUAAGGGUGUGAUUGUGAUAAAUAAAUGAUGAUGUUUGGGCCUUCGCUUGAGAAAGGAUUUGAAGAACAAAAAUAAAGGAAGGGGAUCUCGUGAAUUGUAUAGGAUUAAAAUACCCACGUAAGAUGAAUCACAUUGGGAUGCUAUGAAAUACGGUUAUGAAAGCUUGGUAUUGCCCCAGAUGGACCAGUCUAAUCAUUUCAGAUAUUCCUCGAUGCAACGUAAGCCCUAGUGGCAAGGUAUGACGUAAAAAGUUUCAAGUUAUCAGUGGUAUAUUGUAGAUUAACAUUGAGGUGAAUCAACAAUCGAUGGAUAAAAGUACAAAGUAUGAGAUGAGAUUAGGCAAUCAUUCUUAAGAUGAACGGUAAGGAAGAAACAUUAAAGGACUUGAAUUUAUUCACAGAACAAUUGCCAAGAUGGUAAGAAGACUACUAAAGUAUUCGGAAGGUAUAGGUUACAAAAAUGAUAAGUGCAUCAGUCAACAUUCGAGGAUGAAUGUUCCAAAGGGGAAAUAAUGUUACAUCCCAUAUUUUCGUACGUGAAAGUACGCCAUAAGUAAAUUGAUGCAAGCUCGGGAAUGAGAUUAUUUUGAGGUUACAAGUAUUAUGCUAUUUCAAACAAGUGAUAAGUAAAUUCGUGAAGGUGAAAGGAUAAGCGAAUCGAAGAAAGCGAGUUUCGUCAAAGUUUGACAUGUUGGGAUAAAAUAUGGCCCGAGCUAAAAUACCGGUAUUUAUGGACUAGUGUCAUACAAGGUACUACAUGACCAUGAUAGUAGGAUGUAUAAGAUAUGUGAGAAGUGAGUAGUAUUUUAAGUAAGUGAAAAUAAUUCUUAAUUAUAUGGGUAAUUAGUUAAUUAUUGGGUAAUGGGACAUUACCUAGUUAAUUAAUAAUUAGUGGUUAAUUAAUUGAAGUCUUUGGAUAAAGAUUGGACACAAAACGUGGCAGCCACAUAAAACAUAAAACUGCAUUAAGUGACUCUUAAAUUAUUUUUGCAAGGUGGCAACAUUUAAAGAUGCCUUUAUCUCAUUUGGUUAAGAAUAUAAUCAUAAAGGGCCAAAGAUGGUGCAGCCCUUUAGAUUCCUUUCUUGCAUGUAGUCGAUGGCCUUUCAUCUUCUUUUCAGACAGUUUGUUUCUUUUCUAGCUAUGUAUCUGUUUAGUAAAAGAAAUUCUUAUUGUUAGUUAACUAUUCAAUGAGAAAUCUGUUUCUUAUGAAGAAUUUAAACAAAAGACGUGUUCCAUCCUUGUUGAUGAAGAAGUCUUUCUCAUGAGAUGUAGUUUUCUAGUGAAAGGUGUAGUCUGUUCAUUCUACUUUGAGUUUUCAUCCCUCAGCCCACAUGUCCUUCCUUAGUACCUCAGAUUUUUAGGAUCUAAGACGUUUUCAAAGCUCCUAGCAGGUUUUUGUUUUGAAGGUUACACUUAUAACUCUAACACUAAUACUGGGUCUCUGAUGUUAGAUAGCUGCAGUUACAUUUAAUUGAAAAGAUUCGUGACUUUUCAAAAAGAAUAUAUUCUUUAUUUUUGAGUUUGAGGAUACAAAGGCAUGUUAAUUGAGUUAACCCAUGGUUUUAAAAAUAUGCAAUCUUUUUCAAGAAUAUUAUACGGAUUUUUUUUUCCUAUUUCGCUCCGUCGUUACGUGUUGUCGCAAUUGACGUGUGUUAGAGGGAUUGUCAAGAGAAUCGCCUCAGGUAUGUUAAGGCUAUUCAUUCUCUCUUUUUGGCAUGAUCUAUACGACACGAACGAAACGAGCAAAUGCACAAUUUCCAUAAAUGACUCUAUUCAUAGAAAUAUUAUGGGUGUCUAUAUUCUUGAUUUCCCCAUGUGAAUUAUUAUAUAUCUUCUAUUCAUGGGUCUCAGAAAAAUACGUAUUUGAUAAAAUUUAUCCGACAAGCAUAUUAUUUUUAUAACAAUCUGAGAAAAUCUUAUUAACGUAUUUCUUAUGCAUUUCAUGCAUUUAUACAUGUACAUCAACCCAUGACCAGAUGACGUUAUAUACGCGCGUAUAUGUAUAUAUAUGUAUAUGGGAUAUGGGAAAAUGUUACAGCGUUAUAUACGCACCACCNNNNNNNNNNNNNNNNNNNNNNNNNNNNNNNNNNNNNNNNNNNNNNNNNNNNNNNNNNNNNNNNNNNNCAGACGUACAUGUCGAGUCGUUUACUCCAUGUUUCUCUCAUGUCUAUUAUUUACUGAUUUUCAUUCCUUACAUACUCGGUACAUUAUUUGUACUGACGUCCCUUUUGUCCGGGGACACUGCGUUUCAUGCCCGCAGGUCUAAAUAGACAGGUCGAGAGUCCUCCAAGUAGGCGACCAGCUCAAGGGAAGAUGUUGGUGUACUCCAUUUGCUUCAGAGUUGCUUGGUUGGUCAGUAUAAUUUAGAUGUGUAUUGUUUGGUAUGACGGGGCUCUUUCCCGACCUUUAUGACAAUUAUGUAUUCUUAAAGGCUUGUAGACAGAUGUCAUGUACGGAUACUCGUAUGGCCUUGUCAGCCUAUGUUUUGAGUUUACAAAUGAUCAUGUUGGCCUUAUAGGCCCGUAUGUCACGUAUGGUUUCAAUAUCAGGC